GUAUAGAUUUUAUAAGCACAAACAUUCUAUUAACAUACAUUGGGGUAUAUGAAGAAGCAACAUAGACCAUGAAAAAAAAUCCAGGGUCUACAAAGGGUGCACAGGUGGAGAUAUAAAGAUGACAAGGCGUGCACAUGCUCUCUAGAGAACCAGCAACAACCCAUCAGGUUUAUUUCAAUAAUGAUCCUUCCGCAGGUUCACCUACGGAAA
rnacentral:misc_RNA from 1 species